UUACGGCCAUAUCACUUUGAAACACAAGAUCCCGUACGAUCACUGAAGUUAAGCUAAAUCGAGCCUGGUCAGAACUUAGAUGGCGGACUGCUUGGCUAUAUCUGGUGG